UACGUAGGGUGCAAGCGUUAAUCGGAAUUACUGGGCGUAAAGCGUGCGCAGGCGGUUGUGCAAGACAGAUGUGAAAUCCCCGGGCUUAACCUGGGAAUUGCAUUUGUGACUGCACGGCUAGAGUGUGUCAGAGGGGGGUAGAAUUCCACGUGUAGCAGUGAAAUGCGUAGAUAUGUGGAGGAAUACCGAUGGCGAAGGCAGCCCCCUGGGAUAACACUGACGCUCAUGCACGGAAGCGUGGGGGAGCAAACAGGG
rnacentral:rRNA from 1 species